UACGUAGGGUGCAAGCGUUGUCCGGAAUUAUUGGGCGUAAAGAGCUCGUAGGCGGUUUGUCGCGUCUGCUGUGAAAACCCGCAGCUCAACUGUGGGCUUGCAGCCGAUACGGGCGGGCUGGAGUUCGGUAGGGGAGACUGGAAUUCCUGGUGUAGCGGUGAAAUGCGCAGAUAUCAGGAGGAACACCGGUGGCGAAGGCGGGUCUCUGGGGCCGAUACUGACGCUGAGGAGCGAAAGCGUGGGGAGCGAACAGG
rnacentral:rRNA from 1 species